UACGGGGGGGGCAAGCGUUUGUUCGGAAUUACUGGGCGUAAAGGGCUCGUAGGUGGCCAACUAAGUCAGACGUGAAAUCCCUCGGCUUAACCGGGGAACUGCGUCUGAUACUGGAUGGCUUGAAUUCGGGAGAGGGAUGCAGAAUUCCAGGUGUAGCGGUGAAAUGCGUAGAUAUCUGGAGGAAUACCGGUGGCGAAGGCGGCAUCCUGGACCGACAUUGACGCUGAACGGCGAAAGCUAGGGGAGCAAACGGGG
rnacentral:rRNA from 1 species